ACACUCAGCUGGUGGUGGGAUGCCUGGAUCAGGAAGGCGGCUCUGCCAGGGCCAAGCUUAUAGCUACACUCCGGGUGUGCUGAGCGCCGAAACUUCCCCCAAUACAGGAAACUCCACUGCAUAAUUUGCAGCGCUGGAGACUUGUGUUCGUGCUUGCCUCUC
rnacentral:snRNA from 1 species